rnacentral:ncRNA from 1 species
GAGAGCCCGGUGCGGGGAAACUCGCACGCCGGGUUCGGGAGGGCGACCCCCGGGAAACAGACCCGGAGCAAUCCGGAC